UGCCCCAUACUCUAUCCUUUGACGUCUUCGAGUUCUUUUAAAAUGUAAAUUGAAACUUGAGACUAGCAUUCAAAGCCCAAACUUAGUCGAUUAUAACUCAAAUUAUAAUAUACAUUAUUUUUUAUACACUACAACAAAACCAAUAAUUAAAGGCAAAGAAUAAGCUACACAUAAAUAUUAAUUUUUAAAAUAAUGGAUUUAAGGCAUAAAUCAUAUUUGUCUUUAAAUAUAAUAUUAUUAUGCCUUUAAUUUUCAUCAUUUAGAGGCACAUAUAUUAUCUGUCUGCUUUGAAAUAAAAUCAGGUCAUCUGAGCUAAUUAUCGUUGCCUACUGGUAUGUUUGGGUCACGAAAUUUUGAGAGGAAAAAUAUGUGAAAUUCAUGGAUUUUAUUUUAUUUUAUUUUUUGUUGUUUUUGGUUAAGAGGGAAAAACUUAAGUUUACUGAUGAAAAAGGUUUAGAAAGAAUUUCAAGUUAAUGCGUCGUAAUUAUUAUUAAAUGUGAUGUUCCAUAUUACAUUUAUUUUGUUUAAAUUAAGUUAUAUUGUUGAUUGCAACUCAGAGUUAGGCUCCAACAAUUUUUUGAAUUGAAUUUUUUUUUAAGUUAAAGUAUCAAAUUUAGCAUUCAGUUAUAGUUUACGUUUUAUUUCUUAUAAUCAACUCUCUAACAUUAUAUGUCUUUUCUUUUGAUGUAAUGAUUAAGAGAUUUUAAAAAAGACUUAUGGACGUAGGUUCUAAUUCCGCUGUCUUUCUUUCCUUUAUACGGACGUUUGUUCUCCUACUAACAGAAAAAAAAAAAACUUCUCUAGCAUUAUAUGUCUCAUAUUUGAGUGAUUGACGAACAGAUGUGUUACAUGUAGGAAAAAAGAAACAGAAAAAUGGAAGAACCACCAUUUAAUGGUGAUUCUGGAGUUAGGUUCUCUAUAUUUGGUUAUUCAAUCGAGAAACAUUUUAGGGUAAUGGAUACAAUCUCUAGAUUUGUGAAGAACCCAAGAUUGAUGGUCUCGAUGAAACUGAUAUCCGGAGAUUCUCUUCUUCAAUCACUUUCUUAAGGGAAUGGAGGCAUUUUAAUUAUGAACCGAGGAUCAUUGGGUUUGCUAGCGAACUAGGAGACUCACCGGGUAAAGAUGUUUCUGGUGGCAUAAACUUGCCUCAGUUUUCAUCAGCAACUGUUCCCAAGCAGGAAGGACUACGAGUAAGUAAUGCAUCUCCAGAAUCCAUGUUAGAUUGGAUUUUGGUUUGAGCAAUUUCAGUUUCCAAUGUUAUUGGGUUUAGGUGGUAAAAGGAUGGUGUACUGUGGGUUUGGAAAAGGUCUUAGUUUUAUUCUUGACCAUAAAAGUUCUGCUAUCCUACAGGAUUCCUCCUUUGUUUAAAAAAUUUUAACUCUUAUGAACAACAUGUUAUGGAUGGUGUUUGCUCUUGUUGAUCUGUGAUGCAUAUACAUGUUAUAAGAUAAGAACUUGGUGUUAUUAUUGCUCCUCUUAUUUAAGAUCUGUGUAUGGGCACCCAAAUAUUUUUAUUUGUGAAGCCAACACCGCUGCAAAAUGGUAUGUUUUAUACAUUUAUUGAAUGACAUGAUUAAAGUACAAUCAUCUUGCAGCAAGGACUUCGUGAUGUAUGUUGGAGGGUCUGUUUGGGCAUUAGAUUAAUGGUGUCCUAGAGUUCAUGAGAAUCCUAACAGUCCUGUCAAAUGUGAGGUACUUCCCCACUUCUCCCCUCCCAAAUCCCUAACCCACUUCUGGGAACCUUUUAUUCUUUUUUUUUUUUUUCGUGUAUUCCACCUUCAAUUUAUCAUUAUAGCCCAAACCUCUAUCUACUUGGUUAUUUCAAAUGAAAGAGACAAAAGCCUAGAUUUGUUCUGAAACAGUGGUUUAAAAUAUUGCCUGCAUGCUUAAUAAGUAGGAUUUUUAAUAAUAAUUAUCACCAUCUUAAUGCUGCAAUCUUGCGAGGCUGUCCUUGUUUUGUCUUUUUCUUUUUUUGCCUUCUUUUUCCCAGUUCAUUGCUGUCGCUGCUCAUCCUCCUGAAUCUUAUUAUCACAAGAUGGGCACCCCACUUACUGGUAGAGGCAUCAUUCAAAUAUGGUGUAUGCUAAAUGUUGGGGUGAAUGAGGAAGAAGCUCCUCUGUUAAAGAAAAAGCCAAAACGGAGAUCUCAAAAUACAAAGGCCAUGGGGGAGAGCUCGUCAAAGAGGCCUAGAGGAAGACCUGGAAAGAAACCAAUAGUUGAAUCUCAACUAGAUCAGGUUAAGAGGCCAACAGCUAGACCUACAAACAAAUCAAUUGGUGAAUCUCCUAACAGCAAUUAGAAUGACGAGCCUUUCCAACCUCUUCCUGUUCAGUACCCAGAAGGUUCGUUUGAGCCAGUUGCAAUAGACAACGCUCCUGGAAAUACGCAAGAAAAUGUUUCAGAUAAGAAUCAUCAUAAAAAACAAAAAGGUGACAAAGAGGCAGCAUUUUCAUCUGAUGCAGCCCCUAAUACAUCUGUGGAAAGUAGAAAAUUGAAAAGUAAGGCACGAGCAAAAACUAUUAGUGAUGGUAAAUGCCUCCCAUUAUUGACUCAAAAUGAAGAAACAGAAUCUUCAUUGACAAUAAACCAACAAAUUUGUUACAACUCUGGGCAGGAUGCUACUGUGCCGAAUAAUCUUUUAGAUAGUAAUUCGUUCGAGUUCAGCCCCGGUUCUUCUAUUCCAGGUGACAUUGCACUGCCAAGAGCUGUCCUCUUUCUAGCUCACAAUGGAAAAGUUGCUUGGGAUGUAAAAUGGAAGCCUUAUGAUAUAAAUGAUUCUAAAUGCAACCAACGGAUGGGCUAUCUGGCUGUCUUACUGGGAAAUGGAUCUUUGGAAGUGUAAGACAUCUGCAUUAGUUGUCAAGACUUUGUAUUCAAACUUUUCUUCGUUAUUCUUUUCCUAUCAUCCUUUAGGACUUAGUCAUAAAAGAAUAUACAUCAUUAUCUUAUACAACAAUAUUAGAACACAAAAGCUCUUCAAGGGGUUGUUCAAUUUUCAUGCCUUACUUAGCGGUUAGGUUAACUUCCUAAUUCUAUGUCCAUUUUGUUAAACGGAAGCAUUGCAUCAAACAAUCCUGCUUGUGGAGCGUUUGCACUGCACUAGCAGCGGAUUGGAUAAUAAUCCAAAGAACAAUUAUGUUGAUAUUGGAUGUCAUUUUGAGGUUUCAACAAUCAGGAAAUAUUUGGAAUAUUUCUAAUAUUAACAGUCAUGUAAUGUAAAACGCUGAAGUAAAUGAUGGAAGUUAAGUAGAAUGUUAUGGAAAGAUUAGAAUUCGGUUCUGCAAUAUGGCAAAUAGAUUUGGAUGAAUAAGAUGUAUGUACAUGAGAGAGGGGUAGAAGGU